rnacentral:rRNA from 1 species
AUUGAACGCUGGCGGCAGGCCUAACACAUGCAAGUCGAGCGGUAGCACAGAGAGCUUGCUCUCGGGUGACGAGCGGCGGACGGGUGAGUAAUGUCUGGGAAACUGCCUGAUGGAGGGGGAUAACUACUGGAAACGGUAGCUAAUACCGCAUAACGUCGCAAGACCAAAGUGGGGGACCUUCGGGCCUCAUGCCAUCAGAUGUGCCCAGAUGGGAUUAGCUAGUAGGUGGGGUAACGGCUCACCUAGGCGACGAUCCCUAGCUGGUCUGAGAGGAUGGCCAGACACACUGAAACUGGGACACGGUGCAGACUCCUACGCGAGGCAGCGGUGGGGAAUAUUGCACAAUGGGCGCAAGCCUGAUGCAGCCAUGCCGAGUGUGUGAAGAAGGCCUUCGGGUUGUAAAGCACUUUCAGCGGGGAGGAAGGCGGUGAGGUUAAUAACCUCAUCGAUUGACGUUACCCGCAGAAGAAGCACCGGCUAACUCCGUGCCAGCAGCCGCCGUAA